AGGCCGUUAACUCAGCUCGGUAGAGUGCCAAUCUCCAAAACUGGAUGACGGAUCGGGUUCGAAUCUCCCACGGCCUGCCA
rnacentral:tRNA from 1 species